rnacentral:rRNA from 1 species
UACGUAGGUGGCAAGCGUUGUCCGGAAUUAUUGGGCGUAAAGCGCGCGCAGGCGGUCCUUUAAGUCUGAUGUGAAGCCCACGGCUCAACCGUGGAGGGUCAUUGGAAACUGGGGGACUUGAGUGCAGAAGAGGAAAGCGGAAUUCCACGUGGUAGCGGUGAAAUGCGUAGAGAUGUGGAGGAACACCAGUGGCGAAGGCGGCUUUCUGGUCUGUAACUGACGCUGAGGCGCGAAAGCGUGGGGAGCAAACAGGA